UCACAGGUGGGCACAGGUAACCAGGUUCUUAGUGAUCGGGACAAAGAAUUGAACCGAACACCCAGAGUUCAUGGAAGAGAACAUGGAAGCAGGCCAACUCCAAACAGAGACUGACCUCAUGGGCUGGAGGGACUCUAUUCUUAUAGGGGGGAUCCUUCCUGGCUAGAUUUGGUGGGCUUUUACUGAACCAGUAUAUUGUAUUAACUUUAAA